GAUGAACGCUGGCGGCGUGCCUAAUACAUGCAAGUCGAGCGAACAGAUGAGGAGCUUGCUCCUCUGACGUUAGCGGCGGACGGGUGAGUAACACGUGGAUAACCUACCUAUAAGACUGGGAUAACUUCGGGAAACCGGAGCUAAUACCGGAUAAUAUAUUGAACCGCAUGGUUCAAUAGUGAAAGACGGUUUUGCUGUCACUUAUAGAUGGAUCCGCGCCGCAUUAGCUAGUUGGUAAGGUAACGGCUUACCAAGGCAACGAUGCGUAGCCGACCUGAGAGGGUGAUCGGCCACACUGGAACUGAGACACGGUCCAGACUCCUACGGGAGGCAGCAGUAGGGAAUCUUCCGCAAUGGGCGUAAGCCUGACGGAGCAACGCCGCGUGAGUGAUGAAGGUCUUCGGAUCGUAAAACUCUGUUAUUAGGGAAGAACAAAUGUGUAAGUAACUAUGCACGUCUUGACGGUACCUAAUCAGAAAGCCACGGCUAACUACGUG
rnacentral:rRNA from 1 species